rnacentral:tRNA from 1 species
UGCCCCGUAGUUUAGUGGUAGAACGCUGGGUUUUGGUCCCAGAAGCUGAGGUUCGAAUCCUUGCGGGGCAACCA